rnacentral:rRNA from 1 species
ACGAGUGGCGGACGGGUGAGUAACACGUAGGUAACCUGCCCAGAAGCGGGGGACAACAUUUGGAAACAGAUGCUAAUACCGCAUAACAGCGUUGUUCGCAUGAACAACGCUUAAAAGAUGGCUUCUCGCUAUCACUUCUGGAUGGACCUGCGGUGCAUUAGCUUGUUGGUGGGGUAACGGCCUACCAAGGCGAUGAUGCAUAGCCGAGUUGAGAGACUGAUCGGCCACAAUGGGACUGAGACACGGCCCAUACUCCUACGGGAGGCAGCAGUAGGGAAUCUUCCACAAUGGGCGCAAGCCUGAUGGAGCAACACCGCGUGAGUGAAGAAGGGUUUCGGCUCGUAAAGCUCUGUUGUUAAAGAAGAACACGUAUGAGAGUAACUGUUCAUACGUUGACGGUAUUUAACCAGAAAGUCACGGCUAACUACGUGCCAGCAGCCGCGGUAAUACGUAGGUGGCAAGCGUUAUCCGGAUUUAUUGGGCGUAAAGAGAGUGCAGGCGGUUUUCUAAGUCUGAUGUGAAAGCCUUCGGCUUAACCGGAGAAGUGCAUCGGAAACUGGAUAACUUGAGUGCAGAAGAGGGUAGUGGAACUCCAUGUGUAGCGGUGGAAUGCGUAGAUAUAUGGAAGAACACCAGUGGCGAAGGCGGCUACCUGGUCUGCAACUGACGCUGAGACUCGAAAGCAUGGGUAGCGAACAGGAUUAGAUACCCUGGUAGUCCAUGCCGUAAACGAUGAGUGCUAGGUGUUGGAGGGUUUCCGCCCUUCAGUGCCGGAGCUAACGCAUUAAGCACUCCGCCUGGGGAGUACGACCGCAAGGUUGAAACUCAAAGGAAUUGACGGGGGCCCGCACAAGCGGUGGAGCAUGUGGUUUAAUUCGAAGCUACGCGAAGAACCUUACCAGGUCUUGACAUCUUGCGCCAACCCUAGAGAUAGGGCGUUUCCUUCGGGAACGCAAUGACAGGUGGUGCAUGGUCGUCGUCAGCUCGUGUCGUGAGAUGUUGGGUUAAGUCCCGCAACGAGCGCAACCCUUGUUACUAGUUGCCAGCAUUAAGUUGGGCACUCUAGUGAGACUGCCGGUGACAAACCGGAGGAAGGUGGGGACGACGUCAGAUCAUCAUGCCCCUUAUGACCUGGGCUACACACGUGCUACAAUGGACGGUACAACGAGUCGCGAACUCGCGAGGGCAAGCAAAUCUCUUAAAACCGUUCUCAGUUCGGACUGCAGGCUGCAACUCGCCUGCACGAAGUCGGAAUCGCUAGUAAUCGCGGAUCAGCAUGCCGCGGUGAAUACGUUCCCGGGCCUUGUACACACCGCCCGUCACACCAUGAGAGUUUGUAACACCCAAAGUCGGUGGGGUAACCUUUUAGGAGCCAGCCGCCUAAGGUGG